rnacentral:lncRNA from 1 species
CUACCGACUUCUAGCCGACGUUGGACGAGCGGUCGAGGUGGGUUGAUAUUUACCGAUAUCGUCGGAUUUCCUCCUAAGUUGGCGUUUUUGUUAGUAUGUAUGUUUUAUGUGUAGUAUCAUGUCUAGUAACUCGAAUUAAUCGAUUUGCAUGUUUUUUUAUGAAAUCUGAAUUUGGAGUAUAGUUUAGUGAUUUUAGAUGGAAUUAUACAUGUUGAACUGGAAAUUAAGUUAGGAGAAAACA